GAUGAAUGCUGGCGGCGUGCCUAACACAUGCAAGUCGAGCGGCAGCGAGGGGUGCUUGCACCCUGUCGGCGAGCGGCGAACGGCUGAGUAACGCGUAGGAAUUUGCCCCAAAGUGAGGAAUAACUGCCCGAAAGGGUAGCUAAUGCCGCAUAUGGUCUUCGGAUUAAAGGAUUUAUCCGCUUUGGGAGAAGCCUGCGUUGGAUUAGGUUGUUGGUAGGGUAAUGGCCUACCAAGCCGACGAUCCAUAGCUGGUCUGAGAGGAUGAUCAGCCAGUCUGGAACUGAGACACGGUCCAGACUCCUACGGGAGGCAGCAGUGAGGAAUCUUCCACAAUGGGCGAAAGCCUGAUGGAGCAACGCCGCGUGAAGGAUGAAGGCCUUCGGGUUGUAAACUUCUUUUAUGAGUGAAGAAUAUGACGGUAACUCAUGAAUAAGCACCGGCUAACUACGUG
rnacentral:rRNA from 1 species